UACGUAGGGUGCGAGCGUUGCCCGGAAUUACUGGGCGUAAAGCGUGCGCAGGCGGCUUCUCAAGUCAGGGGUGAAAGCCCAGAGCUCAACUCUGGAAUUGCCUUUGAGACUGAGUGGCUUGAGUACGAGAGAGGUGAGUGGAAUUCCCAGUGUAGAGGUGAAAUUCGUAGAUAUUGGGAAGAACACCGGUGGCGAAGGCGGCUCACUGGCUCGUAACUGACGCUCAUGCACGACAGCGUGGGGAUCAAACAGG
rnacentral:rRNA from 1 species